GUGCAGCAGGCGAGAAACCUCCGCAAUACACGAAAGUGUGACGGGGCCAUCCCGAGUGCCGUCCGCUGAGGACGGCUGUUCCCCAGUGUACACAGCGUGGGGGAAUAAGGAGAGGGCAAGCCUGGUGUCAGCCGCCGCGGUAAUACCAGCUCUCCGAGUGGUGGGGACGCUUAUUGGGCCUAAAGCAUCCGUAGCCGGCUGGGCAAGUCCUCCGUUAAAUCCAACGAUUCAAUCGUUGGGCU
rnacentral:rRNA from 1 species